AUACGUAGGGGGCGAGCGUUGUCCGGAAUGAUUGGGCGUAAAGGGCGCGUAGGCGGCCCGGUAAGUCUGGAGUGAAAGUCCUGUUUUUAAGAUGGGAAUUGCUUUGGAUACUGUCGGGCUUGAGUGCAGGAGAGGUAAGUGGAAUUCCCAGUGUAGCGGUGAAAUGCGUAGAGAUUGGGAGGAACACCAGUGGCGAAGGCGACUUACUGGACUGUAACUGACGCUGAGGCGCGAAAGCGUGGGGAGCGAACAGGAUUAGAUACCCUGGUAGUCCACGCGGUAAACGAUGAAUGCUAGGUGUUGCGGGUAUCGACCCCUGCAGUGCCGGAGUCAACACAAUAAGCAUUCCGCCUGGGGAGUACGGCCGCAAGGUUGAAACUCAAAUGAAUUGGCGGGG
rnacentral:rRNA from 1 species